UCGACCGUCGGCGUUUCGGCUCCCUCUCGACGUAGGAGCAUCAGAUUUCGACGAGACUUGGUUCGUUGGAUUUGGGACUUCGAGAGGAAUCCACGAAGCCCUUACUUGCUGGUUUUGGUGGAGGUUUUCUUGAGUUUGGCAGGAGCGUGAUUUCUGGCCUUUGGAGGUUUGCGGAUUGAUCUAGCAGGGUGUUCCUUUGCUUCGGGAUGUCCUCGCUGCUGGGGAUUAGCGACUAAGGUGGGUUAAUCAUCGGCUUAUACUCCUAAGUGCGCAAUAGUCAACAUGUGUAAUUUCAGAUUUUGUAUAGUUUACUUUAGCUCGAAUUCAUGGACUAAUUUGUGAAUUACAAUCUGAAUUUGGAGCAUGUGUUAAUAAA